AGCGAAUAUGUAGGGAAUGCGUUUUAUUACUAUUCAGUUGAUAUUCUUUAUUUUAUGUCAUUAAACUUAUGUAAGUACAUACCAUUUUCUCAAACAUGCUCGGAAAUGUUUGCAUUACUUUCAAAAAACGAACACGGAAAAUUUGUUAUUUAUGGACCAUGCUACUUCUUCCCGGCCAAGGCCUGCAAAGCUCUUUUCUUGAUGUUCGUAGCGAAAAUAAGUUCUAGUGAGAAGAACAAUAAGGAAAAUAUAGUAAUAGAUUCACAUUCAACCACAUCAUCCGAAGUUCAGCAGACUAUGUGCCUGGAAAAACCUCCAGUUACACGACGCGAAAGCUUUCGUGCGGCCGCCAUGUGGUAACCGUCCAGCUACCAUGCUUUCACGUACAUUAAUGGCGAAUCUAGAAUCAUAUUUGCAUUGAAAUUCCUCGCAACAAUUCAACCGCGCGGUCGUCGCGUAGACCAAAGAUAAGCCAGACUCAAUCGCACGUUCGGGACGCGACAGGCGGGGUGCAUUUCAUUCAUUUGCAGCGUGGCGUAAUAGCGUGAAGUUAAUGUUUGUUUUUGCUCAUUUAAGUUAAAACGGAAAUGUCAAAUAAACGCGCCCUUAGAAAGAUGUCUGUGUAGCUGCUCAAUAUCGAAUGAAGGUCAUCUUUUGGUAAAAGCCAAUAAUUCCAAAGAUACGAGACAUUUGCUUGAUAUUUAAAUUUUUGUAUUAGGAGUUUUAAAAGUGACAUGUGCCGAAUAUGUGGCAGUGUAUUAUUCACGAUUUGUUUACAAUCAAACAAAGCUGUUUUAGCGCACCAUUAACGAACAAUAUUUAAAACUAUAUCAAAAUUUAAAUUCAAGUUAAAUGUUCACUUUCUUAAUUAGUUCUCUUUUUUCCUUACGUAAAUUAUAAUUGUUUUUAGGAAACUUGUAUUUCUGUAGAUAUUUAGCUAAAUAGCUUACCAUCUAAACAUUAGUGUUCCAGUUGUCACAAAUACUUAUGCAAAAUAUUCAGACUCCCACUUUGCAAACAUA